GAUGAACGCUGGCGGCGUGCCUAAUACAUGCAAGUCGAGCGAACAGACGAGGAGCUUGCUCCUCUGACGUUAGCGGCGGACGGGUGAGUAACACGUGGAUAACCUACCUAUAAGACUGGGAUAACUUCGGGAAACCGGAGCUAAUACCGGAUAAUAUAUUGAACCGCAUGGUUCAAUAGUGAAAGACGGUUUUGCUGUCACUUAUAGAUGGAUCCGCGCCGCAUUAGCUAGUUGGUAAGGUAACGGCUUACCAAGGCAACGAUGCGUAGCCGACCUGAGAGGGUGAUCGGCCACACUGGAACUGAGACACGGUCCAGACUCCUACGGGAGGCAGCAGUAGGGAAUCUUCCGCAAUGGGCGAAAGCCUGACGGAGCAACGCCGCGUGAGUGAUGAAGGUCUUCGGAUCGUAAAACUCUGUUAUUAGGGAAGAACAAAUGUGUAAGUAACUAUGCACGUCUUGACGGUACCGAAUCAGAAAGCCACGGCUAACUA
rnacentral:rRNA from 1 species